AGGGCAGGCACAGGAAUGCAUGGCCCUGCUCUCUCUUGCAGCCAGGAGGGAGUCAUAAACAUCCAUCUCCAAGGGAAGAUCCAUCAGCUCCUAUCAAGCACAAAGGAAAGAUUUACAGUCUCACUCUGUUGC
rnacentral:lncRNA from 1 species